GUGUCAGCCGCCGCGGUAAUACGAAGGGGACUAGCGUUGUUCGGAAUUACUGGGCGUAAAGCGCACGUAGGCGGAUUUGUAAGUCAGGGGUGAAAUCCCGGGGCUCAACCUCGGAACUGCCUUUGAUACUGCGGAUCUCGAGUCCGAUAGAGGUGGGUGGAAUUCCUAGUGUAGAGGUGAAAUUCGUAGAUAUUAGGAAGAACACCGGUGGCGAAGGCGGCCCACUGGAUCGGUACUGACGCUGAGGUGCGAAAGCGUGGGGAGCAAACAGGAUUAGAAACCCUUGUAGUCC
rnacentral:rRNA from 1 species